UGGUAUCUUCGUCGCGGAGUCAUUCUUACUAAAGAUAACCUUAUUAAGAGGAAUUGGCAUGGAAGUAAGCAAUGUGUAUUUUGUCUGCAUGAUGAGACAAUAAAACAUUUGUUCUUCCAAUGUAAAUUGGCUCGUUCUAUAUGGUCACUCAUCCAAAUAGCUUCUGGCUUGUAUCCUCCUUAUAGUGUUGCUAAUAUAUUUGGCAACUAG
rnacentral:rRNA from 1 species